rnacentral:rRNA from 1 species
CAGCAGCCACGGGAAUACGUAGGGUGCGAGCGUUAAUCGGAAUUACUGGGCGUAAAGCGUGCGCAGGCGGUUUUGUAAGACAGGCGUGAAAUCCCCGGGCUCAACCUGGGAAUGGCGCUUGUGACUGCAAAGCUAGAGUGCGGCAGAGGGGGAUGGAAUUCCGCGUGUAGCAGUGAAAUGCGUAGAUAUGCGGAGGAACACCGAUGGCGAAGGCAAUCCCCUGGGCCUGCACUGACGCUCAUGCACGAAAGCGUGGGGAGCAAACAGGAUUAGAGACCCCUGUAGUCCCUGUCUCUUAUAC